rnacentral:rRNA from 1 species
UACGUAGGGUGCAGGCGUUAAUCGGAAUUACUGGGCGUAAAGCGUGCGCAGGCGGUUAUGCAAGACAGAGGUGAAAUCCCCGGGCUUAACCUGGGAAUGGCCUUUGUGACUGCACGGCUAGAGUGUGUCAGAGGGGGGUAGAAUUCCACGUGUAGCAGUGAAAUGCGUAGAGAUGUGGAGGAAUACCGAUGGCGAAGGCAGCCCCCUGGGAUAACACUGACGCUCAUGCACGAAAGCGUGGGGAGCAAACAGG